UACGAAAUUCCGUGUGCAUAUUUUUCAAAUUAAAUGGUGCUUCGUUGGUGAAUUAGGUUUAGCAAUGUAAUGUUUACUUUCUUUCCCCUAGUUCAAUUUUUCCAUGUGUAUAAGUACUACAAUUUUUUUAAUAAUUUUCAAUAUAAAACUGAAAGUCUUUCGCAUCUGCACAUUCGUCCCUACCUCUCCACUACUUUGUUAUGCAAUUUGUAUUUUCCUUUCAACUCCUCCUGUUUGCAAAACUUGAUAACAAGAUCUGUUUGAAAUGUGGUAAGACAGAGGCCAAGGGCAUUGUCACGGAAUAGGUUGUGUGAGGGACGGUCACAAGAACAGAGGAUCUUAUACUCAUAAAAAUGAGCACAUUGCGCGCGAUAUUGGUAUCAAAGCUUACGGCUGCUAUCUCUGAGCAUAUUAGCCGUGAGCACUGACUCCCUCUGCACUCGUGAGCCAACGGUAAUAUGUAUCUUGCCCUACAUCCCAUAUUUUCGCCUAUUUUUUUGUCCGUUAUUGAGGAGUAUCGAAUUUUUUUUUCCUUCAUUCUUUUUACGAGCGUAUUUCCCUGAGGAAGGAGGAUACGCGAAAACGAGCUGGAAAACAUAUUUCGUUGUUGUUGCACCGAUGAGUGGGGUCCGGAGAGGAGGGAAUUUCAAUGGAAAAAUGUCGGAACGAUAACAGAGUGAGGCAGCAAUUGGUCAUUAUACGAGCCCUUUGGGAGCUAUUGCCACUCAGUCACUGGCCUCAUCCCCUUUCUUGUCCCAGUUUCCAUCAGCGGUAUUUUUAGGGCGUUACUUUUUAUUACUGGCUAUAUCUGUGAUAUUCUUGUUAUUCAGUGCUUGAUGUUCGAUGAUAAUGGAGCAGAUUUUGGAGGUGUAGAAAAUUAAUGUUUAUUAGAUGAUAUUAAAAAAUGUCUUCAAAUAUUUGGAAGUAAUAAACAGCUUAAUUCCUCUAUGAACUUCCAACAAUUGUUUUUCCUGCCUAGAAAUAUUUAUUCAAUUAUCAUUAUGUAAUCCCGAGCAUCAUCAUUUAGAUCUUCAAACUGAAGUCGCUAAAAAAUGCAAAAUUGAAUAUUUAGUCCCCUACAAAUUGAAGAAGCCCAGAAUCAUAAGUGGCGAUUUAUCAGUUGUAAGAGUACAAUGGAAAUAUGUAACCACGCAAAGGAACAUAUGCAGUUGACAAAGCUCUAAUAAACCUCUCCAAAUUCGCAAAACUAUUCUAAUUUACAUAUACCCUUGUUUGUAGUUUGAACCGGCAUUGUCAAAACCAUAUAGGUAGACUCUCGAGGAUCCACGUGUGUCUAUUCCAUCUAACCCAAUGCCAGUAGUGUAUACAAUGAUGAUGCUGGAACUGCUAGAUACCAACGAGUUUUCGUUAUAUACGUCGUUUGAAAGCUAACUUUGAAAAUUACUUUGCUUACUGUUAGUUGUUUCAACCCUACAUGUACCACCACCACUAGCCGCCCUCUCACCCCGUUUAGAAUGGAUAUUGUUGGAUUUGAGUGAGAAAUUUAACGUACUGAUGCAUAUGCAGCAACUGUUGUAUUUGUUUUUGAAUGGGGAAGGAAGUACGACGACCUGAUCUCAAGCGAACUCUGAUGACAAUAGGAUUGCAUUACACAUUCGUUACAAAGAGGAUUAAUCAACGAAAAUUCAGACUUUUUAAGGGUGAUAACAGUGGCAUAGAUUUCGAUUCCCAAAUCUAUCAAUGAAUUUCUAUCAUCAUCAAUGGUUGGUAGACUAUUGAGCCAAGAGAAUUCUACUACAAGUGGUAUAGUUGACCCGAAAGUUAUAAAUAGAGCCGUCGUUUCGUUGAGGCUAGAAUACUGAGUAUUUUUGCAUUUCAAUACACUCCAUUCGGAUUGAAAAAAAUUACUUCAUUAAUGAUUUCCGAUGGUAAAAUAGGAAGAAACAAAGAAACAUCGGUUGACAGAUACGGGAUUGGAGCAUUGAGGACAUUUCGAUAACUCAACAAAACAAUUAAACUUUUUUUCAAUUAACUCAAGUCCGGGAAAUGGAAGAGGGGAGAAGAGUUCCUGUUAUGAGGAUGAUUCAUUUAUUCAGUGAUCUGUUGGCAAUUAUCGCUGAUUAAAGCAUUAAAAAAUUCACCAAGAGUGGGUUGUCUCCGAUAAUCUAAAUUAAUUCUAAAAGUUUUUGUCAUAAAAGUGUACAACUAAAAAAUGAAGAGAAUGUAUGAAUACAAUAACUUUGACUUAAAAUCAUUUUUCAUUCAACUUUUUUGAUUUUAAGGAAAUUGUCUUAUAAAUUUUCGAAAGACAAUAAAUGAGGUAGUCAAAGUGAAGUUCAAUUUAAGAAUUUUAUUUUCCCCCUUUUAAAAUAGAGAUGUACAAAUAGCCAUGAGUCGAAACUAACUGGGAAAGAUGGGGUGAACCAUUCUUAGGUUAAUGAAUUCUACUUGAUUCCUAUCCAUAACGUUUUAAUAUAGGAUUAACAUUUAUAAAAAUGUCAAUUUAAUGAAAAAAAAACUAAAACUUCAAAAUAAUAAGUAUAUAUAUAUUCAUAAAUUGAUAUAAAUUUGGUAGAAAUUAUAAGGAUUAAGUAUUGUAUCAGUAAAAUUUCGAUAUAACGCGUGGUAACUUUGAUUUCGAAACUCUAUCAGUUUAAUAUUGAGUGCGACGACUCUGAAUUUCUCCAAGAAUGGUUGAAUUUAGAAGUUCAUUUACCACUUUGUAAAAUAGAAAUGCCCACUCAGAAGUCUCCACUAAACGUCAAUCAAAUAACUACCAAAUAGUCACCAUUUUUCCUUGAAAUUAACGAGACAACUGGCACGAAAUAGACGAGCCACAGGACGUAAUUAUGAGCAAGGAAGGCAAUCAAAACUCCGUAAACGAAACGUUGAAAAUUGAUUGGCCCACCACUAUUCAACCUAAUACCAAUUGUCGUAAAUAAAUAGACUCAAGUCCACAGUCGUACGGAGAAUAGCCGUUAAAAGAAAAUUUCACACGAUUGCCAAUUACUUAAAAGCAAGAGGCAAUUUCAGGCGGUUGUUGAGAAAGAAGAAGUGGAGAAGAAAAACGAAUAACAAAAAGAGCGAAAGAGAAUAACGGAGGGAGGGGGGAGGGACAAAGUGGUGGAGAAGGUGAAAAAAAAUAUAUAGAAAAAACGUCAUGCGAAAGGAAGGAGUAAAGGUACUUGUUGAGAGGAGAGAGGUGAGAACGUAAGAUGGUCUCUAUAUGGGAUAGCACACUAUUUGAAGAAUUUUCAAGCGUCCUACCAACAUUGUCUGAAUCUACCUUCGAAGAAAAAACAGAUAAAUAAAAAAAAUUGUAGGAAAAUUAAAAAUUUUCUCAUUGGAUUGGUUGUAAAAUCUGUUUUUUUUUUUUCAUCUCUAUAGAAGAUAGAAGUUAUUCAAAUGAGUGAAGACUAAAUAGUGCAUUUUGAAACAAGUGCGAUAAAGUAUUCCUGACGCGUGUGGAGAUCAGAAGAAUGAUUAAAAUGUUUUUCAACAAAAAAAUGGUGUAGGACGAUAUUAAUUUACAGACCCUCCAAUCGCUGCCUCCUGGCAAGAGCCUCGUUAUGUUCCUCAUGUUCCUCGUAUACAGUGUCAUAUACAAAUCCAAAUAAAUAAUUCCCAUAAUAAGGCUGAGUUUACAGAAGUACCGAGGCCAACGAAAAAAAGGUAAGAGUAUUGCCUUAGAGUCAGUAGGCGCUAAAGUGUAAUUUAACUAUGAUUAACGACGCGGCGAGACGUUCGCUCUCCUAAACUACUCUUAUUUUUCUCUCAUACAACCGUGUCGGCUUAAACCAUUUCAAAGUCAGGACGAAAAAUUUUCCAUUCUAGCGCGUAAAACACAAUUUUAUCAUGAUUAAUGUAAAUAACCGGGCAAAAUUGUGAAUAACUCAAGAGAGAGAAAAGGAGAAUGAAAAUGAAAAUCUCGAGAUAGCUUCACUUAGCGAAUUAAAUUCAGCCCAUUACGUUGUAGUGUACGUAGAAUGCCCAACGGUUAAUGGUGAUUAAACCUCUCUCGUAGGGACCCACUCCCUCCCCUGUAUAGGAGAAAAAGAAGUGAAACAAGGAUUUACCAGUGGCGAUAUUUCAUGCCAAUGGAGAAAAAAAAUCUUCAUAAUCAAGGAUUUUUUCUAUUUCUUCAUUUUUAUCCUCUUAUCCGUCAUGGCUUGCUCUAGAUAUUUGUCAACAUUUUUAGUAUUUUCAUAUGUUUGUCCUCCCCUCUAAGUGACCUGCUUUUUCGGAGGUAUUAUAAUAGGAUUUUUAGCUCGAUGAGCUCGAUAAUUGAACUUUUUUUUCUCCUUGGUGCUUUUGAAAUUCUAAUUAAGACUGAAUUAAUUUUGUCAAAGGAAAAGAGGACACUGGAGCGGAAUUUUUCACGGUUUUUAAUUAAGCAGAAUGAAUAUAUUUGAGGGUGGGAAAAUAAUGAAACUAAUUAUUUUGUGUCUGUGAGGUAAAAAUAACUUUAAAGAUAUCGGUUUUUUCAAUCCAUUUUUCCUUACACAAGACCAAAGUCUCAAAUAUUUUACUCCAAUAUUUUUUAUGAAAAUAAAUGAAACGAAAUGUUAAAAAAAAAACAAAAUUCAGUAGCCCAGUAAUGAAACAGCUGAGAAUAACUUUAACCCUGUUCCUUGUUUUAAUGAAUAUCACGGAAUCUAGAGGAGAAAGCAAAAAUGGACAUGAAGAAAAACAUUUUGGAACAAUAAUUCAUAGUUUUAGUGUCAUGGAUUUCACUACAGCACGUAACGCAACGAGCAUAUCGAAUUUUCCCACGCCCCCAUAGUCACGCACCAAAGACGUUUAUUGUCAAUUUUUUUAGCACACUUGUUUUUUUUAUCUACCUGCCUUCCCCUCUUUUCAUCCUUAUUUCCAGUAAGAAGAAAUUUCCCCGAGAGACUAUAUCCCAUUCCCAGCCCCCACUGCCCUCUUUGUUGAAGCCUGAGACCAGGAGAAAACGUGCCGUCGCAUAAUUUUCGCCAACUCCACCUCUGGAUCAAGAUCGAUCCCUCGGGAAUCAUCCCUAAGACUCAGUCACUUCCUUCUUCAUUUUCUCCAUUCUCUCAUUCCUACACGUGGACUUCUAUUUUUUAAAUAAGUCAAAAAGCUUGAUAUUAAAGUGUUGAUCUUCCGUUUUCUUUUUGUCCAACUUCUUGCAAUUAGAGAGAAAAUGACAGGUUUGGAAUGAUGACGCUGCACGAAAAGAAAUUGUCGCUAAAAAUUUGACCUCCACAGGAUGAAACAUGGGGUGAAAUGGCAUUCAACCACUUUUUAGGUUCAAUCUAGUCAGAAUGAGUUCGACUUGGAAGUGUUUGCGAUAAAACUAAUGUUCGGCUCAUGUUUUCCCCUUUGAUGUUCUAAUUUUUAUCGAAAAUUCAACGGUUACGCAGAGGAGAAAAAAGCAAAAACUCGUGAAAAAUAACUAAGGCAAUUUCCAUCUGUGUAAACACUGAAUAGAACCCCCUUACACAUAAUAACUGACCCUCCCCCUCCUUUCGUCAAAGACUUCAUGUCACGCUUGCGCAACGUAUAAUUUUCAAAUGCCAACGGCAUGACUCCAGUUUGCAUAAAAAUACGGGGCACGUGUCCCCACUAAUCACGAUAUUCAUCGUUGUCAUUACAACAAUACACUCCGUUAAUAAUAGGCCCAUAUACAACAAUAAAGAUUGAAAGAUCCAGUACAGCCGUCUAGGGUAUUUUCCUUUUCCUGAAAAAUAUUUACGUUUUCUUUCUUUUUAUCAAGUGAAACGAGUCCUACAAAAAAUGACCAAUUCGGAACUAUAUUUAAGAAAUUCGGAGUGUCUUUUUGGGGUAGAUUAAUCAUAUAAACAAUCGCGGAGGCAAUCGGAAUGGUCAAGUUACCAUGAAAUGCCCCAUAUUCAUAAGAAUGGAUCAUAAUAAAAAGAAUUCGACCUUUCUUACAUUCAAUUUUCAAGCUAAUAAUUGAAGAAUGAAAUUUCAUCUGUUGUAUCUUCCUUUGUCGGGAUUAGGAAGUAUUCUUACCAGGAAUACAAAAACACAGAACAAUGUGUUGCUUUUUCCCUUGUAAUGUUAACUCGAAAUGAAAAUAUGAAAAUUCAUUUGGUGAAAAUAGUAAGAUCAUGUCACCCUAUGUAGCGUGCUAAUUUCCCUAGAAGUGGAUGGAAAACUAACCGGCUCUUUACAUAUCAAAUUACCUUUUGUUACCAUCUGUACCAAACUGCUUGGUACUGUACUCAACCCACAAUCUAAUACAUUUUGAUCGCAGCAUAAUAGACACGUACAUUCAACCCUCCGUCCUUCAUACUUCUUGCUCCUAUUUCAAUUCAGAAUGAACUACCCCAGUGGCGUUUACCUUAUGGGCAGCUGCCAUGGUCAGGUGUACCACUCUCAAGGGAAAUAUAUACAUAUAUAUCGUAAAUACCGCGUUAACUUUUUUUUACUUCAUAUAUACCAAGUUCCUGCGCAACGAGAGGGGAAUAUUUAAAAUAUAAAAUGGAUUCAUUUUUAUUCAGGGGGAAAAGAAGAAUUCUCUUAUUCAAGUUUGAUAAAUAUUUAUUUAUUCACUAACAUCCGGGGGAUUUUUCUCUGGAUAAAUUCCAAUGCCAAUUUUGCAAGUGCAUAUGGAAUUAAUGAAUUUGAGAAAAGUGCUGGAUUGUGGAUUUCGAACUAAUUUUAGGCGGUUCAAUGAGUUCAUUUAUCUUUUUUCUCUCGUCUACAAAAUAAAAGACUGAAGAACUGUAACUGUGAAUAAAUAGAUGUUUACAAUUUACCUGAAUUUCUUACUUCGACAAAUAUUUUAAUAUAACCAAGUUUGGAACAUGUCUGAAAAGACUUUCAUUCAUCCCAUUCACCACGCAGAAUAUGUAUUUAUGAAAAACUUCACUGAGUUGUAGUGAAAAUGGAUGGAAAGUAAAUGUCUCGAAAAAUAUCAUACGAAAAGAUAGAAAUCAACUAACAUUAUUGUAAAGUAAACAAGAGGAAGAAACAAAUAAGAAGAGUCGAUAAAUUUUAACAACAAAUCAACAGCUCGCAGGCAUUUUUCCCCUGAUUUUAAACAUGGAGGCUAUUUUGAAAAUCGGCCAUCUCUACUCAACACCAACCUCACUCCAUAAUCCCCCUCCGAUCACCUGUAUAAAUUCUCGAAAAAUCUCUAACUUUCACCAGAAAAUGUUUCCCUCCCCUCCGGCAAACAAUCCGCCUACGUCUACACCACGUAUCCGAUCCUCCAGCCUCAUUAUCUUCAUCCACGAGCUAGCCCAAAAAAAUAAGAAUGUCAUUAUACUGCAGUGUCCGAUAGAACAUUUAAAAAGUUGUUCUUCACGAGAACAGAAUCUCAUGGUUCGUGGGCAACCAACAAGAAAUCCCCACCAAAGCCCCCACCGUACAACCGUCAUGGCCACCACAGCAGCAGUGAACAGCAGCCAACCACCUCAACUAUACCACCUUAUAUUACGCUUUCUGUGGCGGGACGAGAGGAAGAAAGACCCAAUACCAGCAGAACCGGUUUUUCUUACGUUAAAAAAUACUACAGUGAACUCAGCCAGACGUCCCACCAACAGUUGUUGGAAGGGGGAAUUAAAUCUAUCGAGCAAGAAGAGUCAGAGGAACAUUCAAACAGACAUCAGAAGAAAUAUUAUUUUUACCGAUAGUCACACCAUAAAUAUAUAUUUUUUAUGCUCACUCACCAAUAAUAUGUAAAUGUUUUUCAUAAUACCGCGAAUAAGUGCUGAGAAAUAUCAUUUUUUUUUCAAAAUUUCAUUAAUGCCUGCUCAUGAACAAUGUAAACUGCACCAUCUAUUUCAUCAGAAAUUUGCCGUGAAUAUUUUGAAAUACUCAUCCAAUCAAAAAUUAAAUGAAAAAUAUUUCUCAUUGCACAUCUAAUCAUUAUUCUGCUAAUGGGUAGUGUCAAUCAGUAAAAUAUUUGUUUCUGAUAUAAUUAAAUGAUAACGAAAAAUGAUUUUUUCUUUAAUAUUAAUAAAAAAAAAAAUUGGAAUGCUUUGUUUUUCAUUUUUCAUUGAUAUAACAAUGAGCAUUAUUUUCCUACCGACUUCGGGAGAUAGACUCAGA